rnacentral:rRNA from 1 species
GACGAACGCUGGCGGCGUGCUUAACACAUGCAAGUCGAGCGGUAAGGCCCUUUCGGGGGUACACGAGCGGCGAACGGGUGAGUAACACGUGGGUGACCUGCCCUCAGCUCUGGGAUAAGCCUGGGAAACCGGGUCUAAUGCUGGAUAUGACUCCAUGACGCAUGUUGUAGGGGUGGAAAGCCUUGUGCGGCUGAGGAUGGGCCCGCGG